rnacentral:lncRNA from 1 species
CAGGGAGGCAGGGAAAGCGGAACUCAGCCCGGGGUCUACCGGCGCCCCCCGGGUGCGCCCAUCCUCAUCCCUGCGCCUCGGUUUCACAUCCACGGAAGGGGCUUUCCCUUGGUGCCAUCCCCGGGUCCUGUCCGCGCAGGUGGCUGAGCGCAGGAGGCACUGGAGCGGGUGUGCCGCCCCGCCCGUCCCGCGCCCGGGCACCGAGAACCCACGUGAUUUCCCAGCAGAGGCAGCCGGCUCCGAGAGCCCGCCGCCGGGCUACUCCGCGCCUGCUUUCAGUUUCAAGUGGAGCGCGGCGAAGUCGGGAGCGCAGCCGGAGCCUGUCCUAUGGAAAGAACCUGAAAAUCCAGCUCUAGGACUUGGCCCAAGAACUCAGGAGACCCUCUCUGUGGACAUCCUAGAACAUCUAUGAUGAACCAGGGAGCCAGGUCAGUGAUCAUCCCUUCACUGAGGAUCUUUCUACUAUAAUCCUCUGUCUCCAAGGCUGUUUGCUACUGACUUUCACAAUGACCAAUAAUGAUAUAGUGUGUUUUUUCUUCCAGGGCUGGUUAUUUUUUAAUAGCUAAUGUCUUACUCAAAGGGGACAGAGCACUCAUGGUGGAAACAAAGGCAUCAUGUUAGACUGGCUGGGGGAGAAAUUUGAAUUUGAAGGACUUUCCCCGAAAUUAUACCAUCCAGGCACUCCUCACUUCCGCCUGGCACCUUGCUGCCCUGGAUGAGUUCUUUAUGGGCCGCAUGGACUUUGGACACUCUAGCCCGGAAAAGAAGCCAUGCCGUAGGCGCCAAGAUCACACAGAAGCCAGGGAUUAGCCCUUGUCUGGUGCCACCUAGGGUUCCCAAGCCUUGGAAAUUAACUGGCCUGAGAGGUAAGAAAUCUCAGUUCUGAGCAUGUGUCCUCCAUGGACUUAAAUGGUGAUCUUGGGUCUGUCCUUUACCCUUCCCCAGCUUAGCAUUUUCAUCUGUUGAGUGGGGAUGGUGAUCCAUGCCAUAGAUGUGAGCAUAUUUCUUGAAGUCUCAAACUCUGUGCCUGAGCAAGGAGUUGUUGCUAUUAGUUUGGUUGAAGAGGGGU